AACCGGCGAGGCGGUGCGACAGGGAUGCGGGCACGCAGCUCGCGCCCCGGCAGCCGCAGACCAGCCCGGAGCGGGAAGGGGCGGUGCGCGGCCUCUGCAGAGGGUGGGCGGAGUUCCCGCGGUGGCCCCGCCCCUGGCUGGGGGCGCCCGAAGCAACCCGGCCUCGCUUGUGGGGAGCCCUACACCCGCGGCCAGUCCGCCCCUGCGGGGGAAAAUGCCGGAGUGAAACUGGAGCGAUUGCCGCCCCGCCACGUGACGGUCCCGCAUCGGCGACCUGGAAGCGGAUGGGACCAUCUGGUUGCAGGAAAACAAGGUCAGGGCUCCCACUGAUUCUACAUUAUGGUGAGUCAUAUAAUUGCUUCAUUAUAUAUUACAAUGUAAUGAUAAGAGAAAUAAAGUGCACAGUAAAUGUAAUGCACUUGAAUCAUCCUGAAACCAUCCCUGCCACCCUCAGUCUGUGGAAACUUACAUUUUGGUCCCUGGUGUCAAAAAGGUGGGGAACCAGUGCUCUAUAGGAUACCCAACAGGAGAAACAUGUAUUUCUUCUUAGGGAGACUCCACAGUACCCCUCAACUGUCCACCUUCCAGGCCAUGUCCUCUACUGGGAAUAUGAACCUAGGAAACCAGUAGAGUAGGCAGAGGAGACCCAUGAUAGCACACCCAGCACAGGCCCAGUCCUCACAGCCUCCCACCUUAACUCUUCCAUCAGAAGACUGGAGUGGGGAAGUCCUAGGCACCAGCCCCAUGGUCCAGCAACCCUGACGAUAGCACCUAGCUUUAGAGACAGCCAGAUCUGCCUACAGAUAUUGGCCAUCUGCCUCUUAGUAGCUAUGAAACCUGAAGUUUAAGCCAACUCUCUAACCUCUCUUGGCCUUAUUUCUCCAUUUGGAUAAUGGGAUAAUGAUUCUUACCUCAAGCCAGGCGGAGUGGCUCACACCUGUAAUCCCAGCACUUUAGGAGGCCCAGGCUGGUGGAUCACUUGAAGCCAGGAGUUCAAGACCAGCCUGGGCAACAUGGUGAAACCCCACCUCUACUACAAAGACAAAAAAUUCCCCUGGCGUGGUGGUGGGCACCUGUAGUCCCAGCUACUUGGGAGGCUGAGGCACAAGGAUCACUUGAACCUGGGAGGCAGAGGUUGCAGUGAGCCAAGAUUGUGCUGCUACACUCCAGCCUGGGCGACAGAAUGAGACUUUGUCUCAAAAAAAUAAAAAAUGGGGCCAGGCCUGGUGGCUCAUGCCUGUAAUCCCAGCACUUUGGGAGGCCGAGGCGGAUGGAUCACUUGAGGUCAGGAGUUCCAGACCUGCCUGACCAACAUAGUGAAACCCCGUCUCUUCUGAAACUAUGAAAAUUAGCAGGGCAUGGUGGGGCACACCUGUAAUCCCAGCUACUCAGGAGGCUGAGGCACAAGAAUCACUUGAACCUGGGAGACAGAGGUUGCAGUUAGCCAACAUCGCACCACUGCACUCCAGCCUGUGCAACAGAGUGAGACUCUCUCUCAAAAAAAGAAAAAAUGGAAAUAAAUCAUAACGCAACCAUCCAUAAAUAAACACUGUUAAUAAUUUGUUGUGUUUCUUUCUAGUCUUUAUACUGUAUGUGUUUGUUUUAUAUACAUUAUGGUUUUUGAGACAUCUAAAGUAUAAUUAUUAAAUCUGUGGGCUUUGGAGUCCUGGUUCUACCAUUACUUUAUAUAUAUUAUCACUCUUGGCUAUAAGUCUGUAUACUAAAGAAAAAGUAUAUACAUAUAAUACUUACACACACACACACACACACACACAUAGUCAUGUUUAACCCUGAAGAUAACCAUUUAAAGCAAGUGCUACCCUUGGUUUCACUGAUGAGGAAACAGAAGCAGGAAGAGCUUGGGUGAUUUUCCCCAAGUCUCCAACCGGAAAAUUGUAGAGACUGAGUGGCUCUACUGGCUGUGGUACUCUGCUCUCACACCAGCUUGUUGGUCAGCCAAGCACUAGAUCCAUUUAAAGUCAAUAAAGAAGGAAGUGUUCUCAUACCCAUUUUACAGACGAAGAUUGAGGCAACCAAGGUUACAAGAGUCAGGAUGAACCUCCCACUUUAAGAGUGAAUUCUUCAAGGACUUUGCAAGUGACGAUAUCAUCACUAAACUUCAACUAACAUAAAUGUGUCACUCCUUCAGCGGGUCUGUUUCAUCUGUUUGCCUGUUCUCCAACGUUACUGCUCCUACCUCCUCCCUCCCUCCUCCUCCGCCAAGGAGGAGCAAAGCACCAGGAAAGGGGAAAAGGUGGAGAGCACUCAGAUGGCUCCUCUGCCUCACCUGCCCUCUGGCUCUCUUUCCUCCUGCCUUGGCCCUCACAGAUUGGCAAGCUCAAGCUUCCUGCUGGCUCUGGACUGUGGCUGGCUAUAGGAGGGGAACGAAACCAGCCAGGGCUCCCACCCCACGUUGCCUGGCCCUAGAAGGAAAAGCCAGGUCUGCUAGCUGUCUGUGGUUGAGAAAAGAGCAGAAACACCAGAUACUGAGGUCUUGGCCAUCUAAAGGUGUGUUUCCUCCUCUAUAAGAUGAGAUCCCCCCCACUCCCUGCAGCAGCCUGCAUAAGAGUUAGACAAGAAGACCCCAAAAGCAUCAGUUUCCUCUGCCUCCCCAGGGCUGGGUGUCCUCACUGCCUUCCUGGGCCUCUCUAGUCCAUUGGAGACAGUUCUUGCUUGAAAAGCAUCCACCUAUGUGUAGCUUCCACUCAUUGCCCCCUCUUCAGUACCACUAAGCCCAUUUGCUUUUCCAUGUAGACACUUCACAUGUAUUUGUCCUGCUCUUCCAGCUACAUUUCCCUCUGUUCUUCACCUCACCUUCCUGCAGCUAUUUUCCAGGCCCUCUUUAUAGCAGAACCACAUGCCCAGGUCUAAGCCCUGGUGCCACCACUUACUAACUGUAUAAGCAUGGGCAAAUUACUGAACCCUACUGAGUCUGUUUCCACCUCUGUAAAAUGGGCCUGCUAAUAAGAAAUUACCUCAUAGGGUUAGUAUGAGAGCUAUCUCAAUACACCCUAAGCAGUAAUGAGCAUGAAUUAUCAUCUUAGAACUCUUUGCUGAAGGCAAAAGCUUCUGCCUCCUUGUUGUUUCAUUUGCAUUUCUUUGAUUGCCAGAGAGAUUGAACUUCUUUUCAGUUAUUAGUCAUUUGUAUUUCCUUCUUUAAUGAAUUGUC
rnacentral:lncRNA from 1 species